rnacentral:lncRNA from 1 species
GCGGCGACGGCGGCCAAGGGCCUGGGCGGGCCGCGCACAUGGCGCUGGGAGGACCGAGCGCUCGAUUUGCCCUUAGGCCCUAAAGCUGGGUCGCAGCUAGGCUAAGGGAGGGGACGCGGUGUCGACCCCCGGCCUGGGGCAGCUCCCAAGUGAAGUGGGCUCCGCGGCCCGGCCGCUUGGCCCGCUGGCGCCCGGCGCCUCCCCCAGGUGAAAGUUGCCUCCUGGCGCCUCGGGGCACCGCGAUCACCUGUAAUCUUGAGCCACGUCCCAGAUGAAGGGGGAGUUACCUCUCGGUAACUGUUUAGGAAACCUUUGCCCCAGCGUUCGGCUUAGUGCGCUUCCCCGCCCGCAUUCCCACCCACCAACUAAAAGAGUUCUAAAGCGUUCCUGAGUAAAUUAAAUAGUAUUUCGCCGGCUUUUAAAAUUUUUUGUUACCUGUUUCUUUAAUUUGGGUAAAUAGCACUUAAUUACAAAUUAACCAUAUUCCCAAUAGGUUUUUUCUUCCUGGAAUGGAUGUUAAAAUGGUACAAAGACGUUUUGAUAAUAAAUCGGAUACGAGCUUUCUACUUGGCACUCACAUUCACUUAGAGAUGAUACUCGUUUCAUUUUUGAGUCAGUGUUUGUGUCCUGGUGCAAGGUGGCUGAGAGCAGGUUCCGCCGCUGAUUUUUUUCCGAGCCCCCCACCAACCCCAUAGCCUUGUUAAAUAAAUUAUCUGUGCUCGCCUUAUGUUUGGGCUUUCAACCCCCACCCCCCACCCCACGCCCAAUAAGUCGCUUCAAUUACAUUCAACUUGACGUUAAUAUUUUUUGCUUACUCAAAAGCCGUAUUCGGCACAAAUAAUUUUCCUAAGGCUAAUAACCUAUUCAUACAUAACAGCUAUAAACAAUAAGGGUUUUCUUGUUUUCCGUGUCAGUGAUCUCCAGUUUGCCCAACCCUAAGCAACCUGGCGAACCUUGUUGCAAUUAAAAGGGGAUUGUACUUCCACCUAUAUUCCCAUCCAUCUUUACUAGCUCUGUUAUUAGUGGCGCUUUGUAU